CCUACGGGGAGCAGCAGUGGGGAAUAUUGGGCAAUGGGCGCAAGCCUGACCCAGCAACGCCGCGUGAAGGAAGAAGGCUUUCGGGUUGUAAACUUCUUUUAAGGGGGAAGAGCAGAAGACGGUACCCCUUGAAUAAGCCACGGCUAACUACGUGCCAGCAGCCGCGGUAAUACGUAGGUGGCAAGCGUUGUCCGGAUUUACUGGGUGUAAAGGGCGUGCAGCCGGAGAGACAAGUCAGAUGUGAAAUCCACGGGCUCAACCCGUGAACUGCAUUUGAAACUGGUUCCCUUGAGUGUCGGAGAGGUAAUCGGAAUUCCUUGUGUAGCGGUGAAAUGCGUAGAUAUAAGGAAGAACACCAGUGGCGAAGGCGGAUUACUGGACGAUAACUGACGGUGAGGCGCGAAAGCGUGGGGAGCAAACAGGAUUAGAUACCCCAGUAGUC
rnacentral:rRNA from 1 species